rfam:Clostridium sp. CAG:169 genomic scaffold, scf252
GCCUUAUCAAGAGUGACAGAGGGGACAGGCCCUGUGAAGUCCGGCAACCUGCAAAGCGGCAGCUUUGUAAGGUGCCAAAUCCUGCGGGUUAAGCCGAGAGAUGAGGA